rnacentral:lncRNA from 8 species
AUGUCUCCACUGUUAUCUCUACUGUUAUCUAUGGUAUCUACACGGUUAUCUCCACUGUUAUCACCACUUUUAUCUAUGUUAUCUCUGCUGUUAUAUCCACAGUUAUCUAUGUUAUCUCCUCUGUUAUCUAUGUUAUCUCCUCUGUUAUCUAUGUUAUCUCCUCUGUUCUCUAUGUUAUCUCCUCUGUUGUCUAUGUUAUCUCUGCUGUUAUAUCCACAGUUAUCUAUGUUAUCUCCUCUGUUGUCUAUGUUAUCUCCUCUGUUGUCUAUGUUAUCUCUGCUGUUAUAUCCACAGUUAUCUAUGUUAUCUCCUCUGUUGUCUAUGUUAUCUCCUCUGUUGUCUAUGUUAUCUCCUCUGUUAUCUCCUCUGUUGUCUAUGUUAUCUCUGCUGUUAUAUCCACAGUUAUCUAUGUUAUCUCCUCUGUUGUCUAUGUUAUCUCCUCUGUUGUCUAUGUUAUCUCUGCUGUUAUAUCCACAGUUAUCUAUGUUAUCUCCUCUGUUGUCUAUGUUAUCUCCUCUGUUGUCUAUGUUAUCUCCUCUGUUAUCUCCUCUGUUGUCUAUGUUAUCUCCUCUGUUGUCUAUGUUAUCUCCACUGUUAUCUAUGUUAUCUCCUCUGUUGUCUAUGUUAUCUCCACUGUUGUCUAUGUUAUCUCCUCUGUUGUCUAUGUUAUCUCCUCUGUUGUCUAUGUUAUCUCCACUGUUGUCUAUGUUAUCUCCUCUGUUGUCUAUGUUAUCUCCACUGUUAUCUAUGUUAUCUCCUCUGUUGUCUAUGUUAUCUCCUCUGUUAUCUCGACUGUUAUCUCCACUGUUAUCUAUACUGUUAUCUAUGUUAUCUACACUGGAAUGUUAUCUCCACUUUUAUAUAUGUUAUCUCCACUGUUAUCUAUACUGUUACCUAUGUUAUCUCCACUGUUAUAUAUGUUAUCGCCACUGUUAUCUCCACUGUUAUAUAUGUUAUCUCCACUGUUAUAUAUGUUAUCUCCACUGUUAUCUAUACUGUUACCUAUGUUAUCUCCACUGUUAUAUAUGUUAUCUCCACUGUUAUCUAUACUGUUAUAUAUGUCAUCUCCACUGGUAUCUNNNNNNNNNNNNNNNNNNNNGUGUUAUUGACUGUAUGUUUGUUAAUCCCAUGUGUAACUCUGUGUUGUUGUUUUUGUCGCACUGCUUUGCUUUAUUCUUGGCCAGGUUUCAGUUGUAA